CUGAGGGGAGUCAGAGGCGUACGCUCAGAAGCACGACGGGUUCGGGAGUGACCUAUCCGAACAGCCGGUGAACAGGGUGAAAG
rnacentral:sRNA from 1 species